AUACGAAAGGUGCAAGCGUUGUUCGGAUUUACUGGGCGUAAAGAGAGUGUAGGUUGUUUAUUAAGUCGGAUGUGAAAUCCCGGGGCUCAACCUCGGAACUGCAUUCGAUACUGGUAGACUAGAGUUCGGGAGGGGUAAGCGGAAUUCCGUGUGUAGCAGUGAAAUGCGUAGAUAUACGGAGGAACACCUGAGGCGAAGGCGGCUUACUGGACCGAUACUGACACUGAGACUCGAAAGCGUGGUAGCAAACAGGAUUAGAAACCCUUGUAGUCC
rnacentral:rRNA from 1 species